AUGGCACUACCGUGGCGUGUGAGCACUGCAUGUGCUCCCUUGCCGGACUGCACGCACGCCAGCAGGCUGCACCACCACGACUGCCGUACUGCAGGCUGUCAGGGGACGGACUGCGCGUGCACCAGUUAUUGGCCGGUGCUGCCGGCUGGCGUCAAGUUUGAUCCCACGGAUCAGGAGCUGAUCGAGCACCUUGAGGCCAAAGUGAGUGCUGACAGCGCGAGAUCUCACCCUCUCAUCGAUUUGUUUAUACCAACCAUUGACAGCGAGAACGGCAUAUGCUACACCCAUCCUGAGAAACUUCCAGGUAUCACACUGAGUGGCCUAAGCAAGCAUUUCUUCCACCGCAAUUCUAGGGCGUUCAAAAGGGGCACGUGGACGCGUCGCAAGAUACAGUCAGAGUGUGGCAUGCACGCGAUGUGGCACAAGACCGGCAAUACCUCGCCGGUUAUAGCCAACGGCCGGCAGACGGGUAGCAAAAAGGUUCUGGUGCUGCACACCAACAAGAACUUUGACCAGCAGAGUACCAACUGGGUCAUGCAUGAGUACCACCUCGGGGACCUGGAGCAAGAGAAGGAGUGGGAGCUGGUGCUCUGCAAGAUUUUCUACCAGACGAACACUAGGGCUAGGAGUAAAAAGAUUAUAAAGGAUCCCUACGAGGAGAACGAAGAACACGAGGAGGGGAACGAGAGAAAAACACGAGAAAACACUCAACCAACAAGAACAAAGUCACACAUGUGCUUGAUCAUCGAAACACAAGAGAGGUACAAGAUCCAAAUCCAACAAGAGAUCAUACAAAGGGUAACUGCGUCGGGCCGGAUGUCCGGGCGUUCGCGAGGGCCCGGAUGUCCGAGCUGUCUGGCCGGAUGUCCGGGCUGUCCUGGCGCCGCCUUGGAUCUCCUGAGGCAGAACUGGCGUACUCGGCAAUGGGUAGACACUCCUCCCACUCCUUGA
rnacentral:rRNA from 1 species